GGCGAUAUGAGUCUUUCAGGUGAUGCUGCUUGCGUGACGUAUAAUCUAGUGGACGGAACUGGAGGCUUCUUCAACAGCGACAAAAGGCUUCUGAUUCAACCAACGUGUUGCUUUGCUAGCGAACAUAAAGUUGAGUCUUUGAAGCUCUUUUGACCAAUCUUGUGUAUAUUACUCUUAGUGUUUUGAAUAUAAUUAUGUUUACCCAUCUACUAGUUCAUUUUAACGUCAUUUGCUCGUUAAAUUAGCAAAUGUGUUACUAAAUUUAUACUGCACUAGGCUAAUCGACCGGAGCAUGAGCUCACAAAGCUCGACCGAGAAAGAAGCUCUGGUGAAAGGAGAGGAAGACGCUUUCAGGAUGAAAAGGGAGGAAGAGGACGCUAUCACAUUGAAAGAAGAAGAGGAUGAUAUUACAGUGAAAGAGGAAGAUGGGAAAGAGGUUGUCAAAGUGGAAGGGGAGGAGGUAGAAGCUUUCAGAAUCAAAAACGAGGAAGAUGCCAUAACAUUGAAAGAAGAGAAUGUAGUGAAAGAAGAGGAAGAACCUUUCAGAGUAAAAGAGGAAGAGGAGACUAUCUCAAUCAAAAAGGAGGAAGACGUUUUGGGAGUGAAAGCGGAGGAGGCUGAAGAUCAGACUACCACCAGAGAGAGACGUGACUAUCGUGGAUCCUCUGGGGAGCAUCAACAACAUCCUGAUCCUGCUGACGAGGCAGAGAAGAGUCUCUCCAGAUCAGAACACCAGAUGGACAACACUAGCCCUUCCUCCCUCCCGGAGUCCCCGUGUCGUACCUCUUCCAGUAGCGCCUUACUGCUGGGUAUGAAGAGGUUGUCUGUGCUGCUGGUGGACUGCAGGAAAACAACGGGGCUGAGUGGAACUGUGAGAGGACGACAAGAGAAGAAAGGAUCAGAUUUGACACAUCAAAGUAAGUGCUGUAGUUCAGUUUGAACAAAUAAAAUACAAUCUGCCCACUGGUAUCUGUUACCAGGACAACCAGCAGAGUUCUGUUAGUUGACAGGAAGAUAGGCUGGUGUAUAUGGAUGUUAUGAAUAUCAUAACACUGAAAAGGAUUCUACCAAUGAAAAGAGAGGAACCAAUAGACCAUAUAAAACCUUGAUAAAAGUUAGCUUUAGAGAGGAACUAAUAGACCAUAUAAAACCUUGAUAAAGUUCGCUUCAGAGAGAAAC
rnacentral:lncRNA from 1 species